CUGAGCAGAAAGUUUUUAUGGAAGAAUUGUCGCAGGUAUCGAUGACCUUCAAGUACUUCAUCGUGACCUUCACUUGGGAGGAGUGGGGGCAACUGGACGAAGCCCAGAGGACCCUAUAUCGGGAGGUAAUGCUGGAGACCUGCGGGAUCCUGAUCUCACUGGGGUAUCCUGUUCCCACACCAGAACUGAUCCACAUGCUGGAGAAUUAGCAAGAUCUAUAGAUGGUGAAGAGAGGCCUCUCCUAAAGUUCCUGUCCAGAUGCACCUCUCUCUCAGAUCCUCAUUUCUCCUGUCGUUGAAGAUCUUUCAACUGGGAUCACUUCCAUCAUCCUUAAAUAGAAUAUCCUUAGAUAAGAAUUUCGUUUUA